GUUAUAAAGUAACUGCCGAAGACAGUAGGUGCCGGAUGGCAUAAGGAUCAAAACGCCUACCGAGGAAGACGAAAUUCAUUACUUGAAUGUUGACCUCUCUGUCUUUGCAGAGAGGUUUUUUUCU
rnacentral:sRNA from 1 species